rnacentral:lncRNA from 1 species
AGAAAGCAAAAGUCUCCCACUGAAGAGCUGUCACAGCUGACCUAGCCCUGUGUGUCGAGCUGUGUGUCCUUAGAUCUGCCUGUUUGGAUGAGUUCUUGGAAUUACGGACCUCUCAGCAGUAGUAGCUGGUGGUUUCCAAUGCAGAAGGUUACUAUUUGAAUCAGCUCUCCUCUGGGACUGCAGGGUCUCAGCCUGGGAUUGUGAUGGGCUGGAGGAAGGUGCUGCUAGCAUUCAUGCUUUCUGCUGGCCCGCUCUUGGCUCUCCUGUGGAAUUCAGUCCUCUGCUUCCAGGACAAGCCCAGCCUGCACUUGGGGAUCCUUGGGUGACCGUUCAACCGUGAGUAUUUUUUUUGAAGCUCACUGAUUCUUGCUUAAAAACUUAUAAAUGGCAUUUCAUCAAAGGAAGAGCUUCAAAGAACUAUCUUUGCUGGUUGUCGUGUGUGUAACACAUUUCACAUUUACUAUGAAGAGGACUCUGUGUGUGAUCCUGACUACAGAAGCACACAUGACCUACAGAUAACCAUGGGAGCUAAGAAUUAAGAUUUUUUUGUUUGUUUUUAUAGCAUAUACAUAAAAAUGAAGUUGUAGUUUUAUUAUUUAAAGCGAAACGUGAGGUAGAUCCGUAAGAUGCACAUUUGAGGAAGUGACAUGUCUGUGUGCAGAGACUUGUGAUUCCUGGUGCUUUUCUUUCUCACCAGUGCUAGUAAAUAAACCUCAGAAGAGAACAAAGAAAGUGCUUUGGUCCCGUGUAAGAGCAGACUUAGAGAAGAUAGCCCUGAAGAUGUGUAUGCUACUCUCUGGGUUAGCUGUGCUGACUGCCUCCUCCUGAUCCCAUGUCCAGAUCAUAUCCUUAAUUAGUGUAAGGGAUGCUUGUUAGGUGACGGCUGUGGGCGUUCUUACUCUCCCACCAAGGGGCUGAGUAGAGGGUACAGUCUAUUGGGUCAUGUCUGUUUAGUAUACUGUUAUGUCCUAACGCUGCAGAGUUAGAGUUAUCAAUCUGUUCUAGAUUCUAGCCCUCCCUCCCCACCCCCCACCCCAAGAUGCUGAUAGAAGCCACGAAUCCUUUAACCACGUCAUUACACUUUUGCUUGCACAUGGAGGCAUCCACAGAAAUGGAGACCCCUCUCCAGAUGCAGCAGGUAUAGGAGGCUGGGUUGCACUCUCAGGGGGUUGGGGGGGGGGGGGCUUACCCUUCUGGGCAGUUAGACUUCCCAAAGAACUGCUGUUAAAAGCAGGAAACAGCCAGGCCAGAAGUCACUCCAUGUGGCUGCUGGGUGGAAAUACAGAGCCAGAGGAAAAGACACAAGGGUGGAGAACACACGACUAAGUAAGUAAUAGAGAGUGGUUGAUACCCUCAGGAUGGUCACGUGUGGAGCCCAGAAUCCCUGUCCGAUUAGCCAGGCGCAUCUAUAAAGGAGUAUGACUUUGGGUAGAGAGCUAAGGAUUCAUAACCACUUUUUGUGUGUGCCACCAAAUCAGGUAGGGUCACUUGAACUUGAAGGUGUCAUUCAUAACAAAUUGGAGAGGUGGUUACACGCCUGGAAGAAACGUGGUGGGAGAAGCAUAUGAGGAGGUGGUUGAGAACAAAAGGAACAGUGUCUGGAAAAAAUAAAUCCAGCCCUUUGAGCUCAUG